CAAGGGCGGGAUGGGAGGCGCGGCAGCACCGGGCCAGCGGGGGCGGCGGCGCCGGCCCGGCUGCCAGAUCCGGCAGGGGCGGGAGGGGAGGCGCGGCCGGCGGCGGCGGACCGGCAGGGGCGAGGGAAGGUGCGGUUGCGGACGACGGCGGGAGGGGAAGUGGCCGAGGCCCGACGGCGGCUGCGGUCUCCACCUCUGCCGCCUCUGUCGGCGACACCUCCAGCCGUGCCUCCGCUUCCGCCUCCGCCCGCGCCAGCCGGCCGCCACCUACACCUCCACCUCCGCUGGCGCCUCCCCCCGCCUCCUGGCCUCCCUCACCUCCGCCACUGACUGUGCUAGCCGCCGGAUCCGACCUCCACGAGGCCGGGGAUGCGCAGAUCUGAACACCAGCAGCAGAGGAGUGCCUCUUCGAGAUCCUCCACCGCCUCCCUGGCGGCAUCGAGCGUGGCGCUUCCACCUGCGUCUCCCGUCGCUG
rnacentral:lncRNA from 1 species